rnacentral:rRNA from 1 species
GACGUAGGGCGCGAGCGUUGUCCGGAUUUAUUGGGCGUAAAGAGCUCGUAGGCGGCUUGUCGCGUCGGCUGUGAAAACCCGCGGCUCAACUGUGGGCGGGCAGCUGAUACGGGCAGGCUGGAGUUCGGUAGGGGAGACGUGGAAUUCCUGGUGUGAGCGGUGAAAUGACGCAGAUAUCAGGAGGAACACCCGGUGGCGAAGGCGGGUCUCUGGGCCGGAUGACUGACGCUGGAGGAGCGAAAGCAUGGGGAGCGAACAGG